rnacentral:rRNA from 1 species
CGAUUCCGGAGAGGGAGCCUGAGAAACGGCUACCACAUCUAAGGAAGGCAGCAGGCGCGCAAAUUACCCAAUCCUAAUACAGGGAGGUAGUGACAAGAAAUAACAAUACAGGACUUUAUUAGUUUUGUAAUUGGAAUGAGUUAAGUAUAAACCCCUUUACAAGUAUCAAUUGGAGGGCAAGUCUGGUGCCAGCAGCCGCGGUAAUUCCAGCUCCAAUAGCGUAUAUUAAAGUUGUUGCAGUUAAAAAGCUCGUAGUUGGAUUUCUGUUAAUAAUUUAUAUAUAAUAUUUUAAUAUAUUUAUAUAAUAUUAACAUAAUUCAUAUUACUAUAUUAAUUUUAGUAUAUGAAAUUUUACUUUGAGAAAAUUAGAGUGCUUAAAGCAGGCAUAUGCCUUGAAUACUCCAGCAUGGAAUAAUAUAAAAGAUUUUUAUCUUUUUUAUUGGUUCUAAGAUAAAAAUAAUGAUUAAUAGGGACAGUUGGGGGCA